rnacentral:pre_miRNA from 1 species
GUAGUAUUCCCUCCGUCCCAAAAUUCGUGUCUUACAUUUGUUUAGAUACGGAUGUAUCUAACACUAAAAUGUAACUAGAUACAUCCGUAUUUAGACAAAUUUAAGACAAGAAUUUUGGGACAGAGGGAGUACAAA